rnacentral:rRNA from 1 species
AGUGAACGCUGGCGGUAGACCUAACACAUGCAAGUCGAACGGCAGCACAGUAAGAGCUUGCUCUUACGGGUGGCGAGUGGCGGACGGGUGAGGAAUACAUCGGAAUCUACUUUUUCGUGGGGGAUAACGUAGGGAAACUUACGCUAAUACCGCAUACGACCUACGGGUGAAAGCAGGGGAUCUUCGGACCUUGCGCGAUUGAAUGAGCCGAUGUCGGAUUAGCUAGUUGGCGGGGUAAAGGCCCACCAAGGCGACGAUCCGUAGCUGGUCUGAGAGGAUGAUCAGCCACACUGGAACUGAGACACGGUCCAGACUCCUACGGGAGGCAGGAGUGGGGAAUAUUGGACAAUGGGCGCAAGCCUGAUCCAGCCAUACCGCGUGGGUGAAGAAGGCCUUCGGGUUGUAAAGCACUUUUGUUGGGAAAGAAAAGCAGCAGGUUAAUACCCCGCUGUUCUGACGGUACCCAAAGAAUAAGCACCGGCUAACUUCGUG